CAGGGCCGUACCUAGCGCUGCCCCACGACGCCCUGUAACGGCCAUGUCAGUGGCAGCCCCAUCGUGCCACACGAUGAUGAAUCUCCGGAAAAACCCCCCAGCCUGAUAUAUAUGAGGCUGGGGGGGGAAGGAGGAGGGUAAGCAAAGGUUUUCCAGAGUAUUCUCUUAUCCGUUACUACUAUCUCUCCUUCUCCUUCAAUCUCCUCUGACUUGAUCGUCGGAGGGCCCCCACUACCCCAGUGGUGGUGCGAGGCUUGCCUGCAAGUUUUCCGGUGGAAGGUGGAGCGCAAUCAACCCAACUCCAGGGGAACCCCGUUCACACCGCUGUGCCAAUCGUUCUCGGUUUGGACCACCAGCAACAGUUGGCGCUAGAGGAAGGGCCGGAUCUCAGAGCGAUCGUAAUGGCACGGCGAGGUGGUCGUGGAGCUUCCAAUGCUUCCGGUCGCGGGGCCUCUCGCGCCACUGGCCGGGAGGCCGCUGCAUCCCCAACACGCUCUCAGCAAUACUCCACCGCCCCACCGCCCAUUCAGAUGGUCGAAGCCGCCCAGUUCGACCAGCUAACCCAGCAGGUUCGCACCCUCGC
rnacentral:lncRNA from 1 species